UACGAAGGGGGCUAGCGUUGCUCGGAAUCACUGGGCGUAAAGCGUGCGCAGGCGGUUAUGUAAGACAGGUGUGAAAUCCCCGGGCUUAACCUGGGAACUGCAUUUGUGACUGCAUAGCUAGAGUACGGUAGAGGGGGAUGGAAUUCCGCGUGUAGCAGUGAAAUGCGUAGAUAUGCGGAGGAACACCGAUGGCGAAGGCAAUCCCCUGGACCUGUACUGACGCUCAUGCACGAAAGCGUGGGGAGCAAACAGG
rnacentral:rRNA from 1 species